UGAGCAAUCUGCCCUUCUCAUCGGAAUAAGCGUUGGAAACGACGUCUAAUGCCGAAUACGACCUCCUUUCGCAUGAUCGGAGGUGGAAAGCUCCGGCGGAGAAGGAUGAGCUCGCGGCCUAUCAGCUAGUUGGUGUGGUAAUGGCCCACAAGGCGACGACGGGUAGCCGGCCUCAGGAGGGUGACCGGCCACACGUGGGACUGAGACACGGCCCAGACCUCCGUACGGGAGCAG
rnacentral:rRNA from 1 species